rnacentral:lncRNA from 1 species
CACCAAUGCAGAAGAAGAUUUUGUUAUUCCUGGAGUAAUCAGCAGUGUUGGCAUGCUAACAAUGCCUAAAAGCCUUCCUGAGUAACUGUACGAGAUUGCAUCUCCACUUGUUCAUCAGACCUCAAAGUUGCCAAGGGAUUCUUGGAUAUAACUUGAUGAGCACUCAAGAAACACCUAAAAUAUCAUUUUACAAUGGCUUCGAAUUGAGGAUUCACUGGAAGGAAAAGGAGAAAAGCAGAACUUGAUGAUUUUAGUGAGACUGUGCUUGGUGAGAUGCAGGCUGAUGGUUUGUGUUCUGGUCCUGUGCCAGGAGCAAGGCAAGCAUGCAUUCAAUGACAGUCAGCUUCACUGA